UACGUAGGGACCAAGCGUUGUUCGGAUUUACUGGGCGUAAAGGGCGCGUAGGCGGUGCGGUAAGUCACUUGUGAAAUCUCUGAGCUUAACUCAGAACGGCCAAGUGAUACUGCAGUACUAGAGUGCGGAAGGGGCAAUCGGAAUUCUUGGUGUAGCGGUGAAAUGCGUAGAUAUCAAGAGGAACACCUGAGGUGAAGACGGGUUGCUGGGCCGACACUGACGCUGAUGCGCGAAAGCGUGGGGAGCAAACAGG
rnacentral:rRNA from 1 species